GAGAUGUUGGGUUAAGUCCCGCAACGAGCGUAACCCUUGUUUUUAGUUACCAUCAUUUAGUUGGGGACUCUAGAAAGACUGCCGGUGAUAAAUCGGAGGAAGGUGAGGAUGACGUCAAGUCAGCAUGCCCCUUAUGUUCUGGGCUACACACGUGCUACAAUGGCUAGGACAACGAGUUGCAACUUUGCGAAAAGUAGCUAAUCUCUUAAACCUAGUCUAAGUUCGGAUCGUAGGCUGAAACUCGCCUACGUGAAGGUGGAAUCGCUAGUAAUCGCUGGUCAGCUAUACAACGGUGAAUACGUUCUC
rnacentral:rRNA from 1 species